GGCCUAGUAGCAUAGUGGGAGUGUGGCGAGUCUGCGUUGGCGGGCAUUGCUUAGAUAUCUCGGAGGUCCCCGGUCGAAUCGGGGCUGGGCCA